GUUUUAUUACUUACCUCUAUUUUCACUAAAUUAUAUUAAAAGAAGAUCAAACUAAAAGAGCUUAUUUUGGGGAGUGCUACGGAAUCGACCUUAUUAUUAAAACCUCUCCCAAACAGCAGGUGGCGGUACAGAGCUGCAGGCGAGUCUGUUCCUCGGUCUGUCUACAGGGGAAGAGAUAGACAAUCAGCUGUUCAAACAGAGAGCGGAGCUAUGAAAGAACCAAAGAACAGAAGUCGAUUCAGGCCUUAAGUCGGUUGCAGGCUCAGUGUCGUGGUUAUGUGAUGAGGAAAAGACUAAGUUUGGUUCGGACUCAGUUUGAGGAGACAGUGCGAGAGAUUGAUGGAGGACUGGAUCACCUGCAGUGGAGAGGAAACAUCAUUCCCAAACCUCACUUCACUGACACUGAAAGCCUUUUGUUGCAGUAUGACCCAUCCAGGUUUCAGUCCCAUGACCGUCUGGAUGAUUCAGAGAGGGAACAGAAAACACAGAAUGAGGGCAGUGAGAAAUCUCUCCCACAGUCUGAAAUCCAGGUACUGGAGAGAGACGAAGCUGCUGAAACAGCCAGAAGAGAUUCUUCCACGCCUGUGGAUGAUAUUGUGGACAAGAGAGGAGAGAAUGUGGUCAUAAAAAACCUGAUGGAUGGUUCUACUAAACUUUGCAGUACCGUGAAUUCAGAUGUCAGCCUCAGCAGCUUAUUUCAGACAGGAACAAAUUUGCAUUCAGUUUUUAAAACCACAGCACACACUCUUGACUCUCUGAAGCAGCAGCGGAGCGCUUUAGCCAUGGAGGUGCUGUGGAUCCAGCAAGCCAUCAGUAGCAGAAAGAAAUAUCUUACCCUCAAACUGAGAAUGGAUGUGCCACACUGAUACUGGACCAGUUCUAAAGUGGACCAACAUUUUAAAAGAUGUUUUCUCAUAAUUUCUGUAUUAAUGUAACAUGUACAGCACAGAAUGUUUGAGAAUUGUCGUAAAUUAUAUUUAUUUAUGAGCUUCUUUUGUCUAUAAAUGGGUUUGUGUUAAAGAAGAUUUUUAUUUUUGUACAAAUGGCAUUUCAGAAAUAAAUAUAAUAUGCACGUGAUGGACUUUUUCUGUAUCACACAAAGCCAGUACAGUUCAAUCCUAGAUGGACGUCAAAGGCUCCCACAACUUAAUCUUACAGAUCAGUCAAUGUAGUGAAAUAUCUCUCUAAUUAUUGACUUGUAUUGAGACUGUAUAACCACCUGAGAACUGAUCUCUUGAUGUUGCCUGCCCUGGUUUCUCUCAUGGUUUAUUUCUACGGUUAUCCAAAAUCAAGUUUUUCUUGCCUUGCCAGAGUUGCCUUUAGGGUACUAAAUAUAUUAUAUAGGCUACUACGUACAAUGUUGUAAUGUAUAAGUAGUAUCAUGCCAUGACUUUCAAUUAAAUCUUUGGUUUAAUUGUUUAUGGGUGAGUGAUAUAAUAAACAUUUAAACCCUG
ensembl:lncRNA